AUUGAACGCUGGCGGCAGGCUUAACACAUGCAAGUCGAGCGAGCGGCGGACGGGUGAGUAAUGUCUGGGAAACUGCCUGAUGGAGGGGGAUAACUACUGGAAACGGUAGCUAAUACCGCAUACCAUCAGAUGUGCCCAGAUGGGAUUAGCUAGUAGGUGGGGUAAUGGCUCACCUGGGAGACGAUCCCUAGCUGGUCUGAGAGGAGGACCAGCAAAACUGGAACUGAGAAAGGGUCCGGAUGCCUACGGGAGGCGGCAGUGGGGAAUAUUGCACAAUGGGCGAAAGCUUGAUGAAGAAAUGUGGCGUGGAGGAAGAGGGCUUCCGGGUGGUAAGGUACUUUCAGCGGGGAGGCGUUACCCGCAGAAGAAGCACCGGCUAACUCCGUGCCAGCAGCCGCGGUAAUUC
rnacentral:rRNA from 1 species